UGGAAGGCCAAGGUAGGAGAAUCACUUGAGCCAAGACUGCCAGGCUGCUGUGAGCUGUGAUAACGCCACUGCAGUUCAGCCUGCGUGAGAGUGAGACCUUGUUUCAAAAGGAAAGAAAAAGAAAGAAAGAGAAAGAGAGAGAGAAGAUGAAAGAAAAGAAAGAAAGAAAGAAAGAAAGAAAGAAAGAAAGAAAGAAAGAAAGAAAGAAAGAAAGAAAGAAAGAAAAAGAAAACAGAAAAGAAAUGUAAAAAAGCAGGUAACUAUUAGUAGUUCUAAGAAAAUGUUAAUUGUAAUAAUAAUUGUUUUGAAAAGUCCUGGAUCUAUGUAUGAUGUUGCUGAUUUGUUAGCUUGGGUCAGCUUUCACAGAGCCUGAGUUGCAUUACUUUGUUUCCUACAAAAUUUAAAAAGAGAAAUUAAGUGGAACUACUGUCAUCUGAGGUGUAAAUGCCCACCUUGUAUAUGUAUUUGUCCGUUUUUAUCUCUUCAUGGACUAUAAUACAGGAAUUUCAAUGAAAACCUUGAUCUUUUCUGCUCUAUAAUUGAUUUCAUUUCUAUUAAAAGAGAAAGGCACAGAUAAUAGAAUGAAAGCAUGCAAUCUAUGUUAUGUCAGUAAAUCCUUGAUUUCUAUUAAAACCCCACCUAAACUUGCAAUUCCUUUGGCAGAGCACGUAGGAAGGCCUUUCUCCAGCUGCUGUUUUUGCUGAUGAGAUGCCAAGUGUCUUUACAGAUAUGUCUUCAAAGAGAGAGAGAGAAGGACAAGAGAUAGAGAGAAAGAAAGAGAGCGAGAGAAAAGAGAAAGAUAUGGGAAUGCAAUUACAGAAACUCUGCUUUUAAAAGAAGUGGUUCAGGAAAAUAUAUUCUCCAUUCCAUCACACCUCUUUUUCCAAUGAUGCAGUGCGAAGAAAGUAUAAUCUCUGGAGUAAUUACAGUUCAGUGAGGAAAUGAUAUCACCUGAUGGCCCUAUGAAGCAUUUAGCAAUCAAAGGGCCUCACACACACAUUCAGGGUUCAGAUCUUGUUGAAAGCUGCGAUGUCGACACUCUGCACAUGCUCCUCAAACUUGGUGAUCUCCUCCUCCAGCAAGUCUGUCCCCACCUUGUCCUCCACCACACACUGAAUAUGCAGCUUCCGGAUACCGUAGCCCACGGGCACCAGCUUGGAGGCCCGGCU
rnacentral:lncRNA from 1 species